UACGGGGGGGGCAAGCGUUGUUCGGAAUUACUGGGCGUAAAGGGCCAGUAGGCGGCCAACUAAGUCGGAUGUGAAAUCCCCAGGCUUAACCUGGGAACUGCAUCCGAUACUGGAUGGCUUGAAUUCGGGAGAGGGAUGCAGAAUUCCAGGUGUAGCGGUGAAAUGCGUAGAUAUCUGGAGGAACACCGGUGGCGAAGGCGGGUCUCUGGGCCGAUACUGACGCUGAGGAGCGAAAGCGUGGGGAGCGAACAGG
rnacentral:rRNA from 1 species